rnacentral:rRNA from 1 species
UACAGAGGGUGCAAGCGUUGCUCGGAAUUAUUGGGCGUAAAGGGUAGGUAGGUGGUCUUGUUUGUCUGGGGUGAAAGCCUUGAGCUUAACUCAAGAAGUGCCCCAGAAACGGCGAGACUCGAGUACUGGAGAGGGUCGUGGAAUUCCCGGUGUAGCGGUGAAAUGCGUAGAGAUCGGGAGGAACACCAGAGGCGAAGGCGGCGACCUGGACAGUAACUGACACUCAACUACGAAAGCGUGGGGAGCAAACAGG